UGUGCCAAGCAGCCGCGGUAAUUCCAGCUCCAAUAGCGUAUAUUAAAGUUGUUGCGGUUAAAAAGCUCGUAGUUGGAUCUCGGCGGGCAGGGGGUGGUUCGCUCUUCAGCGCUACUGCCCCGCUUUGCCCGUGUGAUUGGCGGAGGUUUCGGGGUGCUCUUCGUUGAGUGACUCGGAGCGCCGUCAGGUUUACUUUGAAAAAAUUAGAGUGCUCAAAGCAGGCUUUUACGCCUGAAUAUUCGUGCAUGGAAUAAUAGAAUAGGAAGUCGUUUCUAUUUUGUUGGUUUUCGGAAAUCGACUUAAUGAUUAAUAGGGACAGUCGGGGGCAUUUGUAUUCAAACGACAGAGGUGAAAUUCUUGGACCGUUUGAAGACAAACUACUGCGAAAGCAUUUGCCAAGAAUGUUUUCAUUAAUCAAGAACGAAAGUUAGAGGUUCGAAGGCGAUUAGAUACCGCCCUAGUUCUAACCAUAAACGAUGCCAGCUAGCGAUCUGCCGACGUUUUUUUUGUAGACUCGGCAGGAAGCUUCCGGGAAACCAAAGCAUUUGGGUUCCAGGGGAAGUAUGGUUGCAAAGCUGAAACUUAAAGGAAUUGACGGAAGGGCACCACCAGGAGUGGAGCCUGUGGCUUAAUUUGACUCAACACGGGAAAUCUCACCAGGCCCGGACACUGGAAGGAUUGACAGAUUGAUAGCUCUUUCUUGAUUCGGUGGGUGGUGGUGCAUGGCCGUUCUUAGUUGGUGGAGUGAUUUGUCUGGUUAAUUCCGAUAACGAACGAGACUCUGUCCUGCUAAAUAGUGUCCGCCUCUCUUUUGGGCGGACAAUUCUUCUUAGAGGGACUGGCGACUCUUAGUCGCACGAGAUUGAGCAAUAACA
rnacentral:rRNA from 1 species